AAUGAGGUCUAUCCCGAUAGGACUUUGAUGUAAGACCAUAUCGUUGGAAACGCCUCAGAAAUGAAUCUUGUGGUUUUGAUUUACCUGCUAAUGCUGUGAUUUUAGUGGGAAUAAACUACAUUACAUCU
ensembl:snoRNA